rnacentral:rRNA from 1 species
GAUGAACGCUGGCGGCGUGCCUAAUACAUGCAAGUCGAGCGAACGGACGAGAAGCUUGCUGCGCGGAUGUUAGCGGAGGACGGGUGAAUAACACGUGGAUAACCUACCUAUAAGACUGGGAUAACUUCGAGAAACCGUAGCUAAUACCGGAUAAUAUUUUGAACCACAGGGGUGAAAAGUGAAAGACGGUCGUGCGGUCAGUAAUAGAUGGAUCCCCGCUGCAUUAGCUAGUUGGUGAGGUAAAGGCUUACCAAGGCAACGAUGCAUAGCCGACCUGAGAGAGUGGUCGGCGACAUUGGAGCGGAGCCGCGGUCCAGACUCCUACGGGAGGCAGCAGUCGCGAACCUUCCGCAAUGGUCGAAAGCCUGACAGAGCAACGCGGCGCGAGUUAUGAAGGUGUUCGGAUCGUAAAGCUCUGUUAUUAGGGGAGAACCUAUGUGUCCGUAACUGUGCACAUCUUGACGGUACCUGGUCAGAAAGCCCCGGCUAACUACGUG